rnacentral:rRNA from 1 species
AGUGAACGCUGGCGGUAGGCCUAACACAUGCAAGUCGAACGGCAGCACAGUAAGAGCUUGCUCUUACGGGUGGCGAGUGGCGGACGGGUGAGGAAUACAUCGGAAUCUACUUUUUCGUGGGGGCUAACGUAGGGAAACUUACGCUAAUACCGCAUACGACCUACGGGUGAAAGCAGGGGAUCUUCGGACCUUGCGCGAUUGAAUGAGCCGAUGUCGGAUUAGCUAGUUGGCGGGGUAAAGGCCCACCAAGGCGACGAUCCGUAGCUGGUCUGAGAGGAUGAUCCGCCACACUGGAACUGAGACACGGUACAGACUCCUACGGGAGGCAGCAGUGGGGAAUAUUGGGCAAGGGGCGCAAGCCUGAUCCAGCCAUACCGCGUGAGUGAAGAAGGCCUUCGGGUUGUAAAGCCCUUUUGUUGUGAAAGAAAAGCAGCAGGUUAAUCCCCCGCUGUUCUGACGGUACCCAAAGAAUAAGCACCGGCUAACUUCGUG